AGAAAGAAAGACUGUAAGUAGAAGCGUGAAAGAAAGAAAGGAGGAGGGACAGGGCGAGUGGGAGAAAGAGAAAGCAACCAGAGUGGGGCUGCGCGAUCUUGUCGGCGCCUGCGUCUCUAUGUAUGAGUGCAAGUGGCGCCGCUACCGACUUGUGUGUAUGUGAGAAAGCAGGCAAGCCAACCAAGUUGAGACGUCGUUGUGGCCCCGCGGCAGCGAUUACACUUCGGGCACCACGUCCCGGUCGGAGCGCAGUGUGUUUGCGCGUAGAAGAAUCAGUGGCCGGCGCCCCGGUGUGUACAGGGUUUUAUGAUUCCGAGAGUGAUUGACAGCAGGUGAAUAUUGGCGCCCGUGUCCGCCCUUAAUUCACACGUUACAUCCGCCGCUUAUACUUGGGCAAAUACAUAUUUGGGAGAUAAUAAAGGCGCGAGAUUAAAAGAAAAUUAAUAAUAUAUCACUAAGAAUAACACCUAUAACAAUAACGAUAAUAGUAACAACAACAACAACAAUAAUAAUAAUAUUAAUAAUAAUAAUAAUAAUAAUAAUAAAUAAGGAAAGCAUAGACACAUAUAUAACGUUCUUCCAUAGGACUGGAUUUCACUACGCAACCGACCAACCACACCAAGUCCAUCCAUCCUCUCUCAACUGCAGGCAUUCUCAUUCUCUUUAUAAUUGAAUGUCAAAAUUAUCGAUGAUCCGGUAAAUGCACCAACGUUAUAACAAUCGUCGUCAUUAUCAUAAUCAUUAUCGUAAUCAUCGUUGUCAUCAUUAUCAUAAUCAUCAUCACGAUCAUCGUUAUAACCGUUACUACCACCAUCGUCAGCAUCUUCGUAAUCAUAUACAAUCACAAACUUAAAAGGUUAUACGCACCAACAACCUACCAAUUAAAACCGUCGAUAUAGUGUUUCGCUUAACUAUUCGUGACGUCCUGACAACGUGCCGAUUACAGCAAGUUUUUAAAACACCGGCUACCAACGAGGAGAGCACUGGAUUAACUUGCAAUAGAAACCUACGACAACCACGAGAUUUUGGACCUCCAGUUACUUGGAGGCUACGCAAGUAGCGACAACGAAGCAAUAGCAGGAGUGGGUCAGCUUUGGGUAACUACCCAGCUGUUGGCGUGAGCCAACCAGAUCAGCGAAGCAAAAAUGGCGACGAUAGAUGGGCGGCCGGCCCAGUAUGGGGUGACUCUGAAACAGCUCCGGGAGCUCAUGGAGCACCGGGGUCCAGAGAGCAUCGCAAAAGUCAACGCCCUUGGCGGUGUUCAGGAAAUAUGCAAAAAGUUGUACACCUCCCCUAGCGAAGGACUCAGCGGAUCCGUAGCAGACAUGCAACACAGACAGGACACGUUUGGUUCUAACAUGAUACCUCCAAAACCAGCAAAAACGUUUAUGCAAUUAGUCUGGGAGGCGUUACAGGAUGUAACACUUAUUAUUCUAGAAAUAGCGGCAUUGGUGUCGCUCGGUCUUAGUUUUUACCAGCCCACUGACGACGAAGCCAUCGGGCCAAAAGUUGAUGAUGCAGAAGGGCAACAUGGAUGGAUUGAGGGUUUGGCAAUCCUGAUUUCCGUUAUUGUAGUCGUAUUCGUAACAGCUUUCAACGACUAUAGCAAGGAAAGACAAUUUCGAGGUCUCCAGAGUCGAAUAGAAGGCGAACACAAGUUCUCUGUCAUUCGACAAGGGGAAGUCAAGCAAAUAUCUGUAUCGGACAUUGUCGUUGGUGACAUAUGUCAGGUAAAAUACGGAGAUUUACUUCCAGCUGAUGGUAUCCUGAUACAAAGUAACGACGUUAAAGUAGACGAGUCAAGUUUAACAGGAGAAUCAGAUCAUGUGAAGAAGGGGGAAUCGUUCGAUCCUAUGAUGCUGUCAGGUACCCACGUCAUGGAGGGAUCUGGUAAAAUGUUGGUAACCGCAGUCGGUGUGAACUCCCAGGCUGGUAUAAUUUUCACUCUGUUAGGAGCAGCAGUUAACCAGCAAGAGCAGGAGAUCAAACAGAUGAAAAAAGAAGCUAAAAAGCAGCGGAAGAAGAAGUCUGCACCAGGAGAGGAAGCUGGAGAAGUAACUGGAAACAGUCACGCACCUGCCAACGAGAAGCGUGAGCCGGCCGAAAAUCAUGAAGCCUCGUCUCAACCUCCUCCCGAACAUUCGAACAAGAAAGAGAAGAGCGUUCUUCAGGCGAAACUGACCAAACUUGCUAUUCAAAUUGGCUACGCAGGGUCGACAAUAGCCGUUCUCACAGUCGUCAUACUAGUGAUACAAUUUUGCAUAACGACAUUUGUGCAACAAGGAAAACAUUGGAAAAGUACGUAUGUCAACAACCUUGUGCAACACUUGAUCAUCGGUGUUACGGUACUGGUAGUCGCAGUGCCCGAAGGUCUUCCUCUGGCCGUUACUCUGUCGCUUGCUUACUCCGUCAAGAAAAUGAUGAAAGAUAACAAUUUGGUGCGACAUUUGGACGCCUGCGAGACAAUGGGUAACGCGACGGCGAUUUGCUCGGACAAAACUGGAACGCUGACGACCAACAGAAUGACCGUUGUUCAGUCCUACGUAUGCGAAAAGAUGUGCAAGACUACGCCAAACUUUAACGAUAUACCAAGCCACGUCGGCAACUUGCUUGUUCAAGCGAUAUCUGUGAACUCGGCUUACACAUCUAGGAUAAUGCCGGCUCAGGAUCCUACCGAGUUGGCGAUGCAAGUCGGUAACAAGACCGAAUGUGCCUUACUCGGAUUCGUUACCGCCCUCGGCAAGAGCUAUCAGACUAUACGUGAUGAUAUUCCCGAAGAGACAUUCACUAGGGUUUACACUUUCAACAGCGUGAGGAAAAGCAUGUCAACUGUUAUUCCCAGGCAGGGCGGCGGAUAUCGCCUCUUUACCAAGGGUGCUUCCGAGAUCAUCAUGAAGAAAUGUGCCUUUAUCUACGGUCGCGACGGGCACCUUGAGAAAUUCACUCGAGAGAUGCAAGAACGUUUGGUAAAGAACGUAAUCGAGCCAAUGGCUUGCGACGGUCUUCGUACAAUCUCCAUAGCUUACCGGGACUUUGUGCCGGGUAAAGCGGAGAUAAAUCAAGUCCACAUCGACAACGACCCAGACUGGGACAACGAGGAGAACAUCGUCAACAAUCUGACGUGCCUCUGCAUAGUCGGCAUCGAAGAUCCGGUCCGUCCCGAAGUACCUGACGCCAUCAGGAGGUGUCAGAAGGCCGGUAUCACGGUCAGGAUGGUCACCGGCGACAACAUAAACACGGCGAGAUCGAUCGCUCUCAAGUGUGGCAUCCUCAAGCCAAACGAGGACUUCCUGAUCCUGGAAGGAAAGGAGUUCAACAGAAGGAUCAGGGACAGCAACGGCGAGGUGCGCCAGCAUCUGCUCGACAAAGUUUGGCCGAAACUUAGGGUACUCGCGCGGUCGUCGCCGACGGAUAAAUACACCCUGGUCAAGGGUAUCAUUGACAGUAAAAAUACCGAGAGCCGCGAAGUCGUUGCCGUUACCGGCGACGGAACGAACGACGGACCGGCCCUGAAAAAGGCGGACGUCGGUUUUGCCAUGGGCAUCGCCGGCACGGACGUCGCCAAAGAAGCGUCAGAUAUCAUCCUUACGGAUGACAACUUCUCCUCAAUCGUUAAGGCCGUUAUGUGGGGCAGAAACGUGUAUGACAGUAUAGCAAAGUUCUUGCAAUUUCAGCUGACGGUUAACGUUGUUGCUGUUAUUGUAGCAUUCAUCGGUGCUUGUGCCGUUCAAGACUCACCUCUAAGAGCUGUUCAAAUGUUAUGGGUCAAUCUGAUCAUGGACACUUUGGCUUCCCUAGCCCUCGCCACUGAAAUGCCGACGCCUGAUCUUCUCCUUCGAAAGCCUUACGGCAGAACGAAGCCUUUGAUAUCGAGAACUAUGAUGAAGAAUAUACUUGGUCAAGCCAUCUAUCAGUUGGUCGUUAUUUUUACACUGCUAUUCGUUGGUGACAAGAUGCUCGAUAUACCGUCCGGUCAAGACCCGAUCAGGUCUGGCGGACAACCCACUCAGCACUUCACUGUGAUCUUCAAUACAUUCGUAAUGAUGACACUGUUCAAUGAAAUGAACGCAAGAAAAAUACACGGACAGCGAAACAUUUUCGAAGGACUAUUCACCAACCCGAUAUUCUACGGAAUAUGGAUCGGCACUGCUUUGGCGCAAGUAGUCAUUGUUCAGUACGGAAAGAUGGCCUUCCACACGAAGGCUCUUACCCUGGAACAGUGGAUGUGGUGUCUCUUUUUUGGGGUUGGUACUUUGAUAUGGGGUCAGCUAGUCACGACGAUUCCAACUCGCAAGAUACCCAAGAUACUUUCAUGGGGCCGCGGCCAGCCUGACGAUAUGGAUACGAUCAAUCUAGGAGACGAGAAAUUCGACCCUGACUCGGAUAAAAAGCCACGCGCCGGACAAAUUCUGUGGAUACGUGGUCUAACGCGGCUACAGACUCAGACGAGCAAUAGAACUCUGGUGCAGAAUGUAUCUGUGACAGGCAGAUCUCCUUCUCAGGAUUACCAUAUGCCAGCGGAACCCAUUCGAGAGACUGAGGUUUAACAGGGCGGCAGUCUCUUGCCAGUCGCCACACUAUUCCUGUCGGAGUACAAACAACGUGGCGAGUCGAGUGGUGGCCAAUC
rnacentral:misc_RNA from 1 species